CCAUCUCUCAUCAACCCAUUGCUUUCGCGUGUUCCUCUCCCUCUCUACCCACUCCCCCGUACCAUUCGUCACCCUCUGAUUUCGUGAAUUCUUCAUCCACAGCCUUCUUUUUCUCCACAUCAAUCUGAAACCCUAGCACUGUUUCUGUGUUUUCGUUCCUCUUUCCACCCACUCCUCACCAAUCCAUCAAUUCUGUCUUCUCCGAUUACACUGUUACGCUGAUUCGGUGGCUCCAUUCGUGGUCCAACACCUCCAACGAUCUACUGUUGCUUGCUCAUCCUUCUCUCUGUAUUCCAGAUUUCAUUACAGUUCCAAGGAGUAAAUCCUGCCUGAAUCAGGUGUGAAAAUUGAGUCUUCAAUCAAGAAAAAUCAUAUUAGAAAAUUCACAAGUGAAUUGCUUGAGGGCAAUGUAUACAAGACAAAGAUUGGUUUCUAUUUUUGGUGCUUGACUAACAAGGAGAAAGAAGAAAAGCUGGAUGGUGAUGCUGCUUUGAAUCAAUUCUUCUGUGAUAUUUAUCAAAAUGCAUAUGAGGACAAGCGAAGAGCAAUGAGCAAGUCAUUUCUGGAGUCAAAUGAAACAGUGCUGUCAACGGAUUGGAAAGAAGUGGGAUCGAAGAAGGUAGAAGGAAGUCCAUGUGGCUGAAGCUGCUGAAGUGCAGGCAAAAUUGUUGUUUUGGAGUGAUUAUCAAAACUACACCUUGCAGCUGAUCCUGGUGAGUACCCAAACAAUGUUUAUGAGUUUUCCUCUUUUUUCAACUGAGCUCUCAUCUGAUAAAUAUUGUUGUGAUUUUCAAGGUCUAUUAGUGAGGACUCUCUUAGAAGGUUUGUACAGUUUGCAAGUGAGUGUUGCAUACAUGAGUUAUUGGCAGAUUUAUACACAUACAAAGGAAUUUUUAAACACUUGUCAGCUAUAAACAACAAAUGCAUGUUCAGCAACUCUAACUGAACUGUUUGGAGUAAUUAUAAAUAGCUUACAUAAGGUUUGAAUCCCACCUCUCAUUUAGAAUUUUUCAGCUAUGAACCCUCUCUUCUCUUUUUCGUUUUUGUUUGACUACCUUAUUAAGCUUGAAUGUGCAUUCGCUUACAAAAAGAUCUCCAUAGAUAUGUUGCUUGAAUAAUAGUAAUUUUAAAUUUGAGCGGAUUGGCAGGAAAGUUUCAAUACUAAAUGGUGGAGAGAGGGUAAAUUCAUAAUCUAUAAUUUUUUAAGAUAUGUGACAUUCAAUUAGCCUCUGUAACUUAUAAGCAUCAUAAAAGGCUUUGAUUCUGAUGGUGUGUGACAAGAGUUGGCAGAUGUCGGCAAAAAGACUUCAUUUCUGGAAAAUUAGUUCAUAGUGAUUUGAAUACCAAAGUUUGAAUGUGCUGCUUUUUCAUAUAGAGAUGGUGUUUGACAUUGAGCAAGAUGUUUUGGUUUCUUAUAACAUGUCUCCUCCGUUUCUAGCUUCCUCUUCUUUUUUAUAUGAUUUUUUUUCAGGUCUUUCUCCGUUGAAGCCAUGGAUAUGAACUAGAUGUCUGUAAUAUAUCUGAAGAAGACUUUUUAUCUUUUCUCAUGUCCCUUUUAAGUUAUUUUCUUUUUUUUAUGUAAGAUGAGUAUCUAGAGCAUAAAUGAACAGUCAUGAGAACUAAAUAUAGGAGCUGCAAAUUUCCAUUCCUUGAAUGUAGGUUAUGAAACAUUAGCAUUUAAACAAUGCAUUUGUUUUUUCUACCAGUUGUUUUAUGCUAUUUGCAGCUCUGUUUUUCUCUCAACUCUUUUGAUUUGCUUAGUUCUCAUUUUUACAUGACUUUUAUAAUCAGAGAAAGAAGUGACUUUAACUUUUUCAAAAAACUAUGACAUUGGAAGAUCUUAGCUCUUUGAAAGAUAAUCAUUAACUUGACUUUGUGAUACAAGUCAUGACCAUUAGAGUGUAAUAGGCCUUUAGAACGGAUCAAUGCCGACAACUGAAAUGAAUGUUAAUAGUUCCAAUAUGAAUAUGUUAGUAGUUCUUAGUUAAGGAUAUCAAUAAAAUACUUUUCUUAUGCCUAAGAUAUAACUAAAAAUAAGAGGCUUAAUUAGGUAAUCUUUAACAAGUUUUCCUUCAUGAAUUUGAUGUAAGAGAUAGAUUUAUUAUCAUGGUUGAGAUUAAAGUUCUGCUUCCUUCAUAAAAUUCAUUAGCUUAGUUCUUCAAGUAAAAUAUCAGCUCAUUAUCAAGCAUCUAUUUAUUUGAGUUAAAAAAUUACCGUACAAGCUAUUUGUGGUGAAAGGAAUCCCUAUAAUAUUUUUAGUAGAUUUGGUGAGAUCGGUCUCUUCCUUCGUUGGUUAGUUUCGCUGGUUUUUAUUCUUUUCUAAUGUAAAGUUUCUAAAUUUCUAUUGUGAGGGAAUCAUGUUAUUGGUGCUGUUUGGUUUGUUAAUAUGUUGGUCAUAUUUUCAUUUAGGCCAAUGCUUCCACAAGGGGAUCUUUGCAUAAAGGUGGACAAAAAGUUUGUGUACUUUGGUAUUCAUCAAGUGAGUAGAUAUGAUAUAGGUGUGCAGAUUUGAGGCACUACUCUAUAAACUCCCUUCAUGUGCUGCUUUGAGGCACUACUCUCUAAACUCCCUCAAUCCUGCAACCAAUACAACCAUAGUUACAUGUUCUGCCACCCCCAGAGGCCAUUGGAAUUCAUUGGAAUGCAGAAAGUGGUGAAGAAAGAGUUAGACGAGGAUGUAUAUUGGUAAUCGACAAUAGCAAAUUCAUCUUCACUGACCUUUGUGAGUUAAAGGGGUGGUUUAGAUUUUUAAGAAUUUUUGUAUUACUGGUGGUUUAGAUUUCUAAGGAUUUUUUUAAGCUGUUAUCUUUGAUUAGUUGUAUUUUAAGUAGGUUAUAAGGAUGUUUAUGUAUCUGUAGUAUUAACAGAAUGAACUAUUGAGAAAUUUGGGUGUCUAUGUUUCAAAAAACUGAAGUAAAAGGAAUCAAGCAGAUAUAUUUAUCUA